rnacentral:rRNA from 1 species
UGGGGAAUAUUGGACAAUGGGCGCAAGCCUGAUCCAGCCAUGCCGCGUGAGUGAUGAAGGCCUUAGGGUUGUAAAGCUCUUUUAGCGGGGAAGAUAAUGACGGUACCCGCAGAAAAAGCCCCGGCUAACUUCGUGCCAGCAGCCGCGGUAAUACGAAGGGGGCUAGCGUUGCUCGGAAUUACUGGGCGUAAAGCGCACGUAGGCGGACUCUUAAGUCUGUGGUGAAAUCCUGGAGCUCAACUCCAGAACUGCCUUCGAUACUGGGAGUCUUGAGUUCGGGGGAGGUGAGUGGAACUGCGAGUGUAGAGGUGAAAUUCGUAGAUAUUCGCAAGAACACCAGUGGCGAAGGCGGCUCACUGGCCCGAUACUGACGCUGAGGUGCGAAAGCGUGGGGAGCA